rnacentral:lncRNA from 1 species
CAGCACACCUACCAGAUGGCCAGCCAAUGAUGACGGUGAUGAUAAUGGUGGUGAUGGUGGUGAUGGUGAUGGUGAUGAUGGUGAUGGUGAUGAUGGUGGCGAUGAUGGUAAUGGUGAUGGUGAUGAUGGUGGUGAUGGUGAUGAUGGUGGUGAUGAUGGUGAUGGUGAUGGUGAUGAUGCUGGUGAUGAUGAUGGUGAUGGUGAUGAUGCUGGUGAUGAUGGUGAUGGUGAUGAUGGUGGUGAUGGUGAUGGUGGUGAUGGUGAUGGUGAUGGUGAUGAUGGUGAUGAUGGUGAUGGUGAUGAUGGUGGUGAUGAUGGUGAUGGUGAUGAUGCUGGUGAUGAUGGUGAUGGAGAUGAUGGUGAUAAUAAUGGUGAUGGUAACAAAUAUCCUGACUCUUCUCUCCCUUAACUGAGAAGGACCCUUAGAUUCUUUUGAACCAAAGCAUUUAGGGGAGCCACCAACCACUGAUCUGAGGUCACACUGAAAAUUAAAUAUAAUUCUAGUGUUGUUGAGAAAAGAAUUUUAUGAUGAGGCGCAGUCUUGUUCUCUUAACAUCAUUUGUCUAUUCAAUGCUUAUGAGUAUCCACCACACUCCAGAUGCUAUGC